CUCAAGAUGGAGAAGAAGAUGGAGAAAGUUAAUAAUUGUAAUGACUGGAUGAAAACUCCUCAUAUAUUAGAGCAAAGUCGACUCCCAGCUCUGCUUGUUCAUGUCCUGAAGUGUCCUUUCCUGACACCGAACCUGAGAGUUGUUCCCAACAGCAAGCAGC